CCACCAAUGGGCCCUUAAGGCCCAACACAGGCGUCUUACCCCUUCAACAGUUCACAUUUUGACUCCAGGACGCAACCUUUGGUUAGGCAUCGAACAUCGCCUCUGGUGGGUUUUGGGUUUCAAAAUGCACGCACGAGCUCCUGCUUUUUCAAAUCAUCUGAAUGUCUCUCUGCAGUGGCUUUCUUCUCGUACGGCCUAUGAUGCAUCAAUUGAAUGUCUCUCUGUCAAAGCGCAGCAUCUAAUCGCAUCAUCACUUGGGUUGGUGGGGGAGCAUUGCCUUCUCUAUCAUACUAUCAUGUCACCGCCGCUGCCGUAAAAAAAAAAGGGGGCUUUUCUUCAGCCCAUUCUCAGUCCAAAGGGCCUCGGGCUUUGAAAUUAAUACUAUAUAUAUAUCAUACAUACGCAACAGCAGCAAGUCAUCCAAAGAUCAACGUCACAUAAUUGACUUUCUAAAAACGACAGAGCUUCAGAAAAUGACGGAAAUGCUAGUUUAUGCACAAACGACAAUGAAGAUAAACAAGAGAAUCCCCUAAAUCAAGGGGUUGUGAUUUUGAUUCAUCUUUCCUUUUUCUUUAACACAAAACGACGAAUGCGCUCGAAUAUAUUACACACUCGAGAGAGAGAGAAUUGGAGGAGAAACCGAAGCAAAUGGCGAAGACCCUCAGCUCCUUGUGCUUCUCUGUCGUCCUCGUCCUCUUGCUAGCUUCCACGAGGAUGGGAGAGGGGUGCGAGGAAUGGGAAAGCAGGAACCUGCCAAACUAUAACUGUUGGUACAACAGCUUGGGGGAGAAAGUAUGCAACGACGUCUGCAAAGGCGAAGGUGCUGAUUAUGGAGCAUGCCCGAAUUCCAUUUCUCGACACUGCCUCUGCCAUCGCAACUGUCCCUUGUGAAUACAUAUGUACGGAGUUCCUGAUUCAUACACACUAUGAAAUACAUAUGGAGCAUGCGCGCGCAUUACCUGGUGGCUGUGUAAUCCGUUUUCGUUUUGAAUGCGGUCUGUUGUUUGAACGCAGCUAUAAAGUCUCUACAGUAAAUGCUGUCGUGAAAUCUGAAUUUUUAGGAUGAUGUUAUGCAACAAUACAAGAGUUUCACGUGACAACA